UUCUUACGCAAUGGUACCGGACACCGGAACGCCUACAGAGAAUGCACAUAGACACGGAUGGCCUCUGCUGGAGGUGCGGGAUCCUUCCUCCACAUUUGGUGGGAAUGCCCACUCAUAGUACCGUUCUGGGAAAAAAUAGCCUCCAUAGUGGCCCUGUUCACAGACAACACACCACCCUUUAAACCAGCCUCCUGCACCACACGACAACCCCUACACCACGAUACAAAUGCUCCCUGACCAUUCGAAUCCUGAAUGUUGCAAAACACCUAAUACCCCUGUACUGGAAAAAGGACACAAUCCCAACGCUUUCCCUCUGGUUUACCAAAAUGGAGGAAUUGUGAGUUACAGAGGAGCUCUGGUACACAACCCAAGACCGAGCACAGACACACAGACACAC